UACGUAGGGGGCAAGCGUUGUCCGGAAUCAUUGGGCGUAAAGAGCGUGUAGGCGGCUCGAUAAGUCUGCUGUGAAAGUCCAGGGCUCAACCCUGGAAGGCCGGUGGAAACUGUCGGGCUAGAGUCCGGAAGAGGCGAGUGGAAUUCCCGGUGUAGCGGUGGAAUGCGCAGAUAUCGGGAGGAACACCGGUGGCGAAGGCGGCACCCUGGGCCAGUCCUGACGCUGAGGCGCGAAAGCGUGGGGAGCAAACAGG
rnacentral:rRNA from 1 species